rnacentral:rRNA from 1 species
CCCUUAGAUGUUCUGGGCCGCACGCGUGCUACACUGAGUGGAUCAGCGGGUCAGGUUGCGCGAAAGCGUUUCCUAAUCUUUAAAUCCGCUCGUGAUGGGGAUUGACGGUUGCAAUUUUCUGUCAUGAACGAGGAAUACCUUGUAAGCGCGGGUCAUCAUCCCGCGCUGAAUACGUCCCUGCCCUUUGUACACACCGCCCGUCGCUCCUACCGAUUGAGUGGUCCGGUGAGGCUUUGGGAUCUGAGCGGAAAGAGCGUUUCUCUGUUUCUGCUCGGAAAACUCAGUCGAACCUUAUCAUUUAGAGGAAGGAGAAGUCGUAACA